rnacentral:rRNA from 1 species
CCUACGGGCGGCAGCAGUGGGGAAUAUUGGGCAAUGGGCGCAAGCCUGACCCAGCAACGCCGCGUGAAGGAAGAAGGCUUUCGGGUUGUAAACUUCUUUUGUCAGGGACGAAGCAAGUGACGGUACCUGACGAAUAAGCCACGGCUAACUACGUGCCAGCAGCCGCGGUAAUACGUAGGUGGCAAGCGUUAUCCGGAUUUACUGGGUGUAAAGGGCGUGUAGGCGGGACUGCAAGUCAGAUGUGAAAACCACGGGCUCAACCUGUGGCCUGCAUUUGAAACUGUAGUUCUUGAGUGCAGUAGAGGAAAGUGGAAUUCCUAGUGUAGCGGUGGAAUGCGUAGAUAUUAGGAGGAACAUCAGUGGCGAAGGCGACUUUCUGGACUGUAACUGACGCUGAGGCACGAAAGUGUGGGGAGCAAACAGGAUUAGAUACCCUAGUAGUC